CACAGACCCUGUGUCUCCACAGGACACAGCCACCGUCCUGGCGGCCCAGCUGGGACCUCAGCACCAGCGGUCAAGGGACCUGAGCCCUGGGCCUCAGCGCAGGACUUGGUUAGAUCCUCUUUCCGGACUCUGCAGCAGCCGUGACAACUUUUGACUCCAGGCCCUGGAACCACAGGGACAGGCCGUAUAAACUGCAAAGCGACGUGCAGCUGCGGGCGGUUUACUGCUGUUGCCCUUGGCCAGGCUUUGAGGGCAAGGAUGUCACUUUGCAGUGCUUCCCUCUCUCGGGCUGGGUUCCAGUCCCAUCGAUGCCCCACGGUGACCUCAGGUAGUACUUCCCUGAGGCCUCUCGCAGCACCUUGAAGUGCUGCACCUGGUCCCCGUAGCUAAAGAAGAGAACACAGGCCACCUCAGAUGGACCCACGGCGGCCGGGGCCCUCCCCCCGUCCCCCGGCCCCGGAGCCAGGCCUUCUUCUCUCCAGGUGUGGCCUGGAGUCAGGAGGAGAGGAGGUGGGGAGGGGGUCCCAGGCCCCACUCACCGGCUCCGUGAACGACGCAGUGAGUCCCCACCUGGCAGUGGAGUGUGGAGUACAGGGUGUGGGCCCUGGACCAGGACACUCUCCUGCUGUGUGAUCUUAGGUAAACCGCUUAACUUCUCUGAACCUCAGUUUCCUCAUAACACCCCCCUUCUGGGUAAGUGCUCGUGUAUCAGUAACAUUAAAUGUUUCCUCUGAGA